rnacentral:snoRNA from 1 species
UCGCUAGAUAAUGAAGAGAUGAUCGCCUGCAUCAUGAAUGGUUUAGAUGCAGAUUCUAAUCCCCCUGUAUCUGCUAUUAUAACUAGGACAUAUCCUAUUUAUGUUGCUGAAUUAUACUCACAACUUUUAAGCUUUGAAA